rnacentral:misc_RNA from 1 species
GAUGAAGAACGUAGCGAAAUGCGAUACGUAAUGUGAAUUGCAGAAUUCAGUGAAUCAUCGAGUCUUUGAACGCACAUUGCGCCCCCUGGUAUUCCGGGGGGCAUGCCUGUCCGAGCGUCAUUGCUGCCCUCAAGCACGGCUUGUGUGUUGGGCCUCCGCCCGCCGGCUCCCGGGGGGCGGGCCCGAAAGGCAGCGGCGGCACCGCGUCCGGUCCUCGAGCGUAUGGGGCUUCGUCACCCGCUCCGUAGGCCCGGCCGGCGCCCGCCGGCGACCCCCCUCAAUCUUUCCAGGUUGACCUCGGAUCAGGUAGGGAUACCCGCUGAACUUAAGCAUAUCAAUAAGCGGAGGA